rnacentral:rRNA from 1 species
GAGUUUGAUCGUGGCUCAGAUUGAACGCUGGCGGCAUGCCUUACACAUGCAAGUCGAACGGCAGCAUGAUCUAGCUUGCUAGAUUGAUGGCGAGUGGCGAACGGGUGAGUAAUACGUCGGAACGUGCCCUGUAGUGGGGGAUAACUAGUCGAAAGAUUAGCUAAUACCGCAUACGACCUGAGGGUGAAAGUGGGGGACCGCAGGGCCUCAUGCUAUAGGAGCGGCCGAUGUCUGAUUAGCUAGUUGGUGGGGUAAAGGCCCACCAAGGCGACGAUCAGUAGCUGGUCUGAGAGGACGAUCAGCCACACUGGGACUGAGACACGGCCCAGACUCCUACGGGAGGCAGCAGUGGGGAAUUUUGGACAAUGGGCGAAAGCCUGAUCCAGCAAUGCCGCGUGUGUGAAGAAGGCCUCGGUUGUAAG